GACGAACGCUGGCGGCGUGCUUAACACAUGCCAGUCGAACGGAAAGGCCCUGCUUUUGUGGGGUGCUCGAGUGGCGAACGGGUGAGUAACACGUGAGUAACCUGCCCUUGACUUUGGGAUAACUUCAGGAAACUGGGGCUAAUACCGGAUAGGAGCUCCUGCUGCAUGGUGGGGGUUGGAAAGUUUCGGCGGUUGGGGAUGGACUCGCGGCUUAUCAGCUUGUUGGUGGGGUAGUGGCUUACCAAGGCUUUGACGGGUAGCCGGCCUGAGAGGGUGACCGGCCACAUUGGGACUGAGAUACGGCCCAGACUCCUACGGGAGGCAGCAGUGGGGAAUAUUGCACAAUGGGCGGAAGCCUGAUGCAGCAACGCCGCGUGCGGGAUGACGGCCUUCGGGUUGUAAACCGCUUUCGCCUGUGAGGAAGCGUGAGUGACGGUAAUGGGUAAAGAAGCACCGGCUAACUACGUG
rnacentral:rRNA from 1 species